UGGGGGAUAUUGCACAAUGGAGGAAACUCUGAUGCAGCGACGCCGCGUGAGGGAAGAAGGUUUUCGGAUUGUAAACCUCUGUCUUUAGUGACGAUAAUGACGGUAGCUAAAGAGGAAGCCACGGCUAACUACGUGCCAGCAGCCGCGGUAAUACGUAGGUGGCAAGCGUUGUCCGGAAUUACUGGGUGUAAAGGGAGCGUAGGCGGGACUGUAAGUUGGAUGUUUAAUCUAUCGGCUCAACCGAUAUUCGCAUUCAAAACUGCAGUUCUUGAGUGAAGUAGAGGCAGGCGGAAUUCCUAGUGUAGCGGUGAAAUGCGUAGAUAUUAGGAGGAACACCAGUGGCGAAGGCGGCCUGCUGGGCUUUAACUGACGCUGAGGCUCGAAAGCGUGGGUAGCAAACAGG
rnacentral:rRNA from 2 species